rnacentral:rRNA from 1 species
AAGGACUUCGAAGGCCAAUAUUUUCAUAUCCGUUGUUGUGCACACAUCCUCAACUUGGUCGUGCAAGAUGGGACAUCGAUCUUAGAUAAUUUGAUAAACAGCUUGAGAGAGACGGUGAAGUACUUCAAGAGGUCACCGUCCCGUCUCCAUGCUUUUGUUGGCACUUGCAAAAGCUUGGGUGUCAAAGUUGGUAAUCAUUUACACCUGGAUUGUAAAACAAGGUGGAGUUCAACCUAUAAGAUGAUAAGCACUGCCCGUGGAUAUAAGGAAGCCUUGACCUCUCAUGCUGGUUCGAAUGCCAACUAUGCUUGGGCGCCGACAAACGCAGAGUGGGACAUGUAUGACCUUAUCUCUCCAUUACUUGAGAGUUUGGCUGAGGUGACAAAAGCAUUUUCAGGAAGUUUAUAUCCCACUUCGAACAUCUUCUACCCAUACAUUGUUGGUGUCAAGCUUGCAAUCAAACAUGCAAUGGCUAGUGAUAGUGACCACUACAAGGAAAUGGGUGAAGCAAUGUUGGAGAAGUUUGACAAAUACUGGGAAGAAAAGAAUAAUGCCAUGGUGAUCGCAACCAUCUUCGAUCCACGGUACAAGAUGGGUUACAUAGAGUGGGCCUUUGGAGAACUAUAUGGAGAAGGAAGUACGAGGUUUAGGACUGAGAUCAAAAUCGUGGAGAAAGAGUUGGCGGCCUUGUAUGACAAAUGUGUUGCUCAAGAUAAGCGAGCUGGAAAUGGAGAAAGUUCAUCUUCCUCUACAAACAUUCCUAGUAUCCCGGUUCAAGCUGGGUACGAGUCCUUCUUAUCGUCUCGUUCAACAAGAAUAUCAAAGAGUGAGUUGAGGAACUACUUAGAGGAUCAGAUUGCCGCUCGCGACAAGGCUCUUGAUCUUCUUGGUUGGUGGAAAGACAAUGCUCCUAGGUACCCAAUUAUGGCCAAGAUAGCCAGGAGGUUCCUUACUAUCCCGGCUACCUCCGUGUCUUCGGAAUCUACCUUCAGCACGACCGGAAGGAUUUUAGAUGACUAUAGGAGUUCGUUAAAACCGGUUAUGGUGGAGGCAUUAGUUUGUGGUGCAAGUUAUAUCAAGGGUGCUCACAUUGACUUGAAUCUGGUGCCGAGGGAUGAGAAUGAAGAGGAUGAUGUUGAGAACAUCAAGUUACCCAUUGUGGUGGAGGAGAUCAACGAU